UACGUAGGGUGCGAGCGUUGUCCGGAGUUACUGGGCGUAAAGGGCAUGCAGGCGGUCGGACGCGUUUCGGGUGACAGCGGGUGGCUUAACUACCCGAGUGGUCGAAAGACGGUUUGACUUGAGGACGCGAGAGGGACACGGAAUUCCGGGUGGAGUGGUGAAAUGCGUAGAGAUCCGGAGGAACACCGAUGGCGAAGGCAGCUCGCUGGGACGGUACUGACGCUGAGGCGCGAAAGCGUGGGGAGCGAACAGG
rnacentral:rRNA from 1 species